GCCCUUCGAGGAGCUCGCGUCCGAUUAGCUAGUUGGUGAGGUAAAAGCUCACCAAGGCAGCGAUCGGUAGCUGGUCUGAGAGGAUGAGCAGCCACACUGGGACUGAGACACGGCCCAGACUCCUACGGGAGGCAGCAGUGGGGAAUUUUCCGCAAUGGGCGCAAGCCUGACGGAGCAAUACCGCGUGAGGGAGGAAGGCUCUUGGGUUGUAAACCUCUUUUCUCAGGGAAGAAGUUCUGACGGUACCUGAGGAAUAAGCAUCGGCUAACUCCGUGCCAGCAGCCGCGGUAAUACGGAGGAUGCAAGCGUUAUCCGGAAUUAUUGGGCGUAAAGCGUCCGCAGGUGGCAUUUCCAGUCUGCUGUCAAAGACCAAGGCUCAACCUUGGGCAGGCAGUGGAAAACUGAAAAGCUAGAGUGCGGUAGGGGGUAGGGGGA
rnacentral:rRNA from 1 species